UGGCUCAGAUGGUAAAGAAUCUGCCUGUAAUGCAGAAGACCCGGGUUCGAUCCCUGG
rnacentral:tRNA from 1 species